rnacentral:lncRNA from 1 species
UCCCCUUGGCAUUGAUCUGCUCCUUGGAACUUCCCAGUUGUCCCCAUCCAACCCGGGCAUUCCAGGCAUCUUCCUUGUUCCAGGCAUUCCAGGCAUCAUACCUCCAGUUCCAGGUCGGCUUAUAGGUAAACCACCAGGACUGAGGGUCCCCAAAGCACCAACACUACGACCAUUUCUCAUGUUUGCAGUUGCUCCAGGGCGCAGACCAAGGUUCUUUUCCGCCUCACUAUG